AUUGAACGCUGGCGGCAUGCCUUACACAUGCAAGUCGAACGGCAGCACGGGUGCUUGCACCUGGUGGCGAGUGGCGAACGGGUGAGUAAUACAUCGGAACAUGUCCUGUAGUGGGGGAUAGCCCGGCGAAAGCCGGAUUAAUACCGCAUACGAUCUACGGAUGAAAGCGGGGGACCUUCUGGCCUCGCGCUAUAGGGUUGGCCGAUGGCUGAUCAGCUAGUUGUUGGGGUAAAGGCCUACCAAGGCGACGAUCAGUAGCUGGUCUGAGGGGACGACCAGCCACACUGGGCCUGAGACACGGCCCAGACUCCUACGGGAGGAAGCAGUGGGGAAUUUUGGACAAUGGGCGAAAGCCUGAUCCAGCAAUGCCGCGUGUGUGAAGAAGGCCUUCGGGUUGUAAAGCACUUUUGUCCGGAAAGAAAUCCUUGGCCCUAAUACGGUCGGGGGAUGACGGUACCGGAAGAAUAAGCACCGGCUAACUACGUG
rnacentral:rRNA from 1 species